rnacentral:rRNA from 1 species
CCUACGGGUGGCAGCAGUGAGGAAUAUUGGUCAAUGGACGCAAGUCUGAACCAGCCAUGCCGCGUGCAGGAAGACGGCUCUAUGAGUUGUAAACUUCUUUUGUACGAGGGUAAAUCGCGAUACGUGUAUCGGGUUGAAAGUAUCAUACGAAUAAGGAUCGGCUAACUCCGUGCCAGCAGCCGCGGUAAUACGGAGGAUUCAAGCGUUAUCCGGAUUUAUUGGGUUUAAAGGGUGCGUAGGCGGUUUGUUAAGUUAGUGGUGAAAGCCCGGGGCUCAAACCCGGCACUGCCUUUGAUACUGGCGUGCUAGAGUUUAGUAGAGGUAGGCGGAAUGUGUGGUGUAGCGGUGAAAUGCAUAGAGAUCAUAAAAAACUCCGAUUGCGAAGGCAGUUCACUAAACUACGACUGACGUUGAGGCACGAAAGCGUGGGGAGCAAACAGGAUUAGAUACCCUAGUAGUC